rnacentral:rRNA from 1 species
AGUCAUAUGCUUGUCUCAAAGAUUAAGCCAUGCAUGUCUCAGUACGAGCCGCUAACAAGGUGAAACCGCGAAAGGCUCAUUAAAUCAGUUAUGGUUCCUUGGAUCGUACCCACAGCUACUUGGAUAACUGUGGUAAUUCUAGAGCUAAUACAUGCAAACAGAGCUCCGACCGGAGACGGGAGGAGUGCUUUUAUUAGAACAAAACCGAUCGGCGGCGGGCGCGUCCGCGCGUCCGUCGGCCGCACAAGCCUGGUGACUCUGAAUAACUUCACGCUGAUCGCACGGUCUCGCACCGGCGA